GUAGGUGGCAAGCGUUGUCCGGAAUUAUUGGGCGUAAAGCGCGCGCAGGCGGUUCUUUAAGUCUGAUGUGAAAGCUCACGGCUCAACCGUGGAGGGUCAUUGGAAACUGGAGAACUUGAGUACAGAAGAGGAAAGCGGAAUUCCACGUGUAGCGGUGAAAUGCGUAGAGAUGUGGAGGAACACCAGUGGCGAAGGCGGCUUUCUGGUCUGUAACUGACGCUGAGGCGCGAAAGCGUGGGGAGCAAACAGGAUUAGAUACCCUGGUAGUCCACGCCGUAAACGAUGAGUGCUAAGUGUUAGGGGGUUUCCGCCCCCCUUAGUGCUGCAGCUAACGCAUUAAGCACUCCGCCUGGGAUACGGCCGCAAGGCUG
rnacentral:rRNA from 1 species